CAAUAUUGAGGUUUGGGGAAAUAUAUGAGAGAAUUGAGAGCACAAAGCAGCAGCAGAUGGUGGAGUUGGAGAAGCAGAGGAUGGAAUUCACCAAGGACCUGGAGGUUCAGCGGAUGAAUAUGUUCAUUGAAACUCAGUUACAGAUUGAAAGAGCUAAACGUCCUGCCAGGGAACGUUUCUUCCUCGCCGUGUAAUAGAAAAUUGACUGCCGCGAUUACACUUACCAUUAAGUCAAACUCUAACCCUAACCCUAACUUUGGUGCCGUGAAUUAUUCCGGCGGUUCAUCGAGGUUGAAUUCAAGUGGUUCAAAUGACAGCUCGCACGAUGAUUUGCCGUUUGGGAGUGGAGGGAGGAAAAGUAAAAUGGAGUAUGUAGGCUUAGCGGAGGAAACUACAGCGUACAAGGAAUUGGCGCGGGCAAUAUUGAGGUUUGGGGAAAUAUAUGAGAGAAUUGAGAGCACAAAGCAGCAGCACAUGGUGGAGUUGGAGAAGCAGAGGAUGGAAUUCACCAAGGACCUGGAGGUUCAGCGGAUGAAUAUGUUCAUUGAAACUCAGUUACAGAUUGAAAGAGCUAAACGUCCUGCCAGGCAUCCUACUUCUACAGGUGAAAUUUCAGAUAUUUACUGCACUUUUUUUCAUUUCUCUUAUUGAUUUAGCUGUUCUUUAGUAUGUUGGAAUUUGUGUCUGUCUAGAGUUAAACAGGUUAUUACAAAGUUCAGCAAAUGAAUCUAUUUCUCGGUUUGAAGCUGUAAAUGUCCUGAGAUGAAAAGAAUGCUGAAGAACUAGUACAGCAAUCUGUUUG
rnacentral:lncRNA from 1 species